CCCUUAGACGUUCUGGGCCGCACGCGCGCUACACUGACCAGUGCAACAAGCAUCCGUCCUUGGCCGACAGGCUCGGGCAAUCUUUGAACGCUGGUCGUGAUGGGGAUAGACUUUUGCAAUUUUUGGUCUUCAACGAGGAAUUCCUAGUAAACGCAAGUCAUCAACUUGCAUUGAUUACGUCCCUGCCCUUUGUACACACCGCCCGUCGCACCUACCGAUUAAAUGGUCCGGUGAAGCCUCCGGAUUGGCGCGCACCUCGGUGCCGCCGAGAAGUUGGCUAAACCUUACCAUUUAGAGGAAGGUGAAGUCGUAACA
rnacentral:rRNA from 1 species